AGAGCAGCGGCCAAGGCUGAGGAGGGAGCUGGGACUCGAGACCCUGCUCCACCCUGCCGGCUCCCGCUCGGCCCCAUUGCCUGGCAAGCCCCGGCAUCUUCGACCCACGUCCGUGGCGCUGCCUGGGUAGGAACGCGCCUGAAGACCGCGCAGGACACUACCACUGAGCAUCCUGGGUUUGAUCUUCUCCCCAGGGCGGGUGGGUGCUCCACCCUCCCGCCCACUCUCUGAGGACACGAGAACCAUGGUAUCCAGCACCACGGACAGCUCCCAGCGGUGAGUGAGCCAGCUGACCCCUGUAGGAAAAUGGUAGUUUUGUCUAUUCCAGGCAGACAUCCAGAUCUGAUGAGGCAUGGCUGCCCCGGGAUUACUGGGCUCGGACGGGAGCAGUGGUAGGAAGGAUCCUAUGUAAGUCAUGUGAGACAUAGAAUGUUCAGAUCAACUGAAGCUGAAACAAGCCUUUGGCAUCAUAUAUAACCCAGAAAGGGACACAGCUGGUGAGUGAACUCCUGAAUCCAGCCUAGCCUUUUCUGCACUGAUUUCUCCUUUAUGAAUCUCCUUGCCCAAUUCUGGCAGGAGUUUCACAUGGGAUGUUACACACAAAAGGACAAGAUAUAUGACUGGGAAUGUGAAGUAUCCCUAAGAAGCAGGGAAAGGUGGAACUGACUGCUCUCACCGUCUGAGAAGGCUUUCAAGGGAAAGUCCUGAAGAAGGCAUGGGGAAGGCUUACCUAGCAGAAAAGGCAAGGGAGCCACCAUCUGCCAGGGUAUAGAGGCCAGUGGAUGGCCCCAGGAGUCUCUGGAGGCCAGCAGGAGGCAUGCAGACUGGACUGGGGCCUGGGAAAGGCCCUUCUGUGUGCCCACGCUUGCUCCCCCUACACCAUGAGUCUAGAGACAAAGGGACCACUCUCUCACAUUUGACACUGCCAUCUCCGGCUGGCAGUGCCAGGUGGCAGGGGCAUCAGGGGGUGUCAAUCCAUUAUCCACUCCCAGCCCCUAAGUCCUCUGGGGCUGAAUGUUGGGGAGGUGGGUGUUCUACGCUAUGUUGCCAUAGUAACCACCCCAACCCCCAACCCC
rnacentral:lncRNA from 1 species